UGGGGAAUAUUGGACAAUGGGCGAAAGCCUGAUCCAGCAAUGCCGCGUGAGUGAUGAAGGCCUUAGGGUUGUAAAGCUCUUUUACCAGGGAUGAUAAUGACAGUACCUGGAGAAUAAGCUCCGGCUAACUCCGUGCCAGCAGCCGCGGUAAUACGGAGGGAGCUAGCGUUGUUCGGAAUUACUGGGCGUAAAGCGCACGUAGGCGGCUUUUCAAGUCAGGGGUGAAAUCCCGGGGCUCAACCCCGGAACUGCCCUUGAAACUGGAUGGCUAGAAUACUGGAGAGGUGAGUGGAAUUCCGAGUGUAGAGGUGAAAUUCGUAGAUAUUCGGAAGAACACCAGUGGCGAAGGCGACUCACUGGACAGUUAUUGACGCUGAGGUGCGAAAGCGUGGGGAGCAAACAGG
rnacentral:rRNA from 1 species